GGAAGAGGAAGGUGGUGAAGAAGAGGAUGAGGAGGAAGAGGGUGAGGAAGAGGACGGUGAUGACGACGACGAAGCUGAGGGAGCCACAGGCAAACGGGCAGCUGAGGAUGAUGAGGAUGAUGACGUCGAUCCCAAGAAGCAGAAAACUGAUGAAGAUGACUAGGCAGCAAAUUAUUAUUAUUUUUUUUUUUUAAAUAAGGAGGAAAACAAACCAACAAAAAAGGCCAGCGCAUCCUCUUCACCCUUGGGUCCCCCCUUGGGACUCCCGUUGCAGCCCCCUUUCCCACACACACCCCCUUCCUCCCCCCUCCGCCGUGGUCAUCCUCACCAAGUAGAG